rnacentral:rRNA from 1 species
AAUAGCCUAACGGCUGAACCAGCAAUUUGGAGGAAUGGGAAUAAUAAGUGUUAUUAUUAUUCCAAAGUGGUUUAUCCACAUAAAGUUCUAGAUAUAUUAUUGAUUAUGACAGCUAUAUAUCUAUUAGUCUCGACUAAAUCACGUGCCAGCUGUCGCGGUAAUACGGGAGAGACAAGUGUUAUUCAUCUUUAUUGGGUAUAUAGGGUACCUAGACGGAUUAGAAAACCUUUUUAAUAAAAAGGUAAAACGAUCUUGAGUUUUAUGUGAGAGGUCUAUUAGUACUAACGGAGUAGAGAUGAAAUUUUUUGAUACUGUUGGGCACUGGUAAGGGCGAAGGCGAUCCUCUAUGUAAAAACUGACGUUGAGGGACGAAGGCCUGGGUAGCAAACAGGAUUAGGUACCCUAAUAGUCCAGGCAGUAAAUUAUGAGUGUCAUAGAUUAAAAUUUUUGAUCUAUAAAUGAAAGUGUAAGCACUCCACCUCAAGAGUAAUGUGGCAACGCAGGAACUGAAAUCAUUAGACCGUUUCUGAAACCAGUAGUGAAGUAUGUUGUUUAAUUCGAUGGUACACGAAAAAUCUUACCACAAUUUGAAUAUAGAUUAAUAUAUACAGGUGCUGCACGGCUGUCUUUAGUUAAUGUCGUGAGAUGCAGGUUAGCUCCAACUAAUUAACGUAAACCCCUAUUUUAUUUUUUUUUACAUAAAGUAUUUUUCCUAUAUAUGGGAUAAAGUAGCANGGAUCAAGACAAGCACUCGCGGCCCUAAUA